rnacentral:rRNA from 1 species
CCUACGGGAGGCAGCAGUGGGGAAUUUUGCGCAAUGCUCGUAAGAGUGACGCAGCGACGCCGCGUGAAUGACGAAGGCCUUCGGGUCGUAAAGUUCUUUCGACAGGGAAGAAAAUGCCUAUAAGUAACUGUGUAUGUAUUGACGGUACCUGUAUAAGCAGCCCCGGCUAACUCCGUGCCAGCAGCCGCGGUAAUACGGAGGGGGCGAGCGUUGUUCGGAGGGACUGGGCGUAAAGAGCACGUAGGCGGUGUUGUAAGUCAUUAGUCAAAGACUAGAGCUCAACUUUAGUAAGGCUAGUGAUACUAUAAUACUAGAGAAUCAGAGAGGAUUGCAGAAUUCCUGGUGUAGCGGUGAAAUGCGUAGAUAUCAGGAGGAAUACCGUUAGCGAAGGCGGCAAUCUGGCUGGAAACUGACGCUGAGGUGCGAAAGCGUGGGUAGCAAACAGGAUUAGAUACCCCAGUAGUC